rnacentral:rRNA from 1 species
UGACAACUAGGCACAGCGAGUCUUGGUUAGAGUUUGAUCAUGGCUCAGGACGAACGCUGGCGGCGUGCUUAACACAUGCAAGUCGAACGGAAAGGCCCUGCUUUUGUGGGGUGCUCGAGUGGCGAACGGGUGAGUAACACGUGAGUAACCUGCCCUUGACUUUGGGAUAACUUCAGGAAACUGGGGCUAAUACCGGAUAGGAGCUCCUGCUGCAUGGUGGGGGUUGGAAAGUUUCGGCGGUUGGGGAUGGACUCGCGGCUUAUCAGCUUGUUGGUGGGGUAGUGGCUUACCAAGGCUUUGACGGGUAGCCGGCCUGAGAGGGUGACCGGCCACAUUGGGACUGAGAUACGGCCCAGACUCCUACGGGAGGCAGCAGUGGGGAAUAUUGCACAAUGGGCGGAAGCCUGAUGCAGCAACGCCGCGUGCGGGAUGACGGCCUUCGGGUUGUAAACCGCUUUCGCCUGUGACGAAGCGUGAGUGACGGUAAUGGGUAAAGAAGCACCGGCUAACUACGUGCCAGCAGCCGCGGUGAUACGUAGGGUGCGAGCGUUGUCCGGAUUUAUUGGGCGUAAAGGGCUCGUAGGUGGUUGAUCGCGUCGGAAGUGUAAUCUUGGGGCUUAACCCUGAGCGUGCUUUCGAUACGGGUUGACUUGAGGAAGGUAGGGGAGAAUGGAAUUCCUGGUGGAGCGGUGGAAUGCGCAGAUAUCAGGAGGAACACCAGUGGCGAAGGCGGUUCUCUGGGCCUUUCCUGACGCUGAGGAGCGAAAGCGUGGGGAGCGAACAGGCUUAGAUACCCUGGUAGUCCACGCUGUAAACGGUGGGUACUAGGUGUGGGGUCCAUUCCACGGGUUCCGUGCCGUAGCUAACGCUUUAAGUACCCCGCCUGGGGAGUACGGCCGCAAGGCUAAAACUCAAAGGAAUUGACGGGGCCCCGCACAAGCGGCGGAGCAUGCGGAUUAAUUCGAUGCAACGCGUAGAACCUUACCUGGGUUUGACAUGGAUCGGGAGCGCUCAGAGAUGGGUGUGCCUCUUUUGGGGUCGGUUCACAGGUGGUGCAUGGCUGUCGUCAGCUCGUGUCGUGAGAUGUUGGGUUAAGUCCCGCAACGAGCGCAACCCUUGUUCACUGUUGCCAGCACGUUAUGGUGGGGACUCAGUGGAGACCGCCGGGGUCAACUCGGAGGAAGGUGGGGAUGACGUCAAGUCAUCAUGCCCCUUAUGUCCAGGGCUUCACGCAUGCUACAAUGGCUGGUACAGAGAGUGGCGAGCCUGUGAGGGUGAGCGAAUCUCGGAAAGCCGGUCUCAGUUCGGAUUGGGGUCUGCAACUCGACCUCAUGAAGUCGGAGUCGCUAGUAAUCGCAGAUCAGCAACGCUGCGGUGAAUACGUUCCCGGGGCUUGUACACACCGCCCGUCAAGUCAUGAAAGUUGGUAACACCCGAAGCCGGUGGCCUAACCGUUGUGGGGGAGCCGUCGAAGGUGGGACUGGUGAUUAGGACUAAGUCGUAACAAGGUAACCGAACCAAGACUCGCUGUGCCUAGUUGUCACGG